CACCGCGGUUAGACGAGAGGCCUAAGUUGAUUAUCUCCGGCGUAAAGCGUGGUUAAGGCAAACCUAAACUAAAGCUAAAUAUUUUCACAGCUGUUAUACGCACUCGAAAAAAAGAAAAACUACCACGAAAGUGUCUUUAAAAUACCUGACCCCACGAAAGCUAUGAAA
rnacentral:rRNA from 1 species